UUUCCGUAGGUGAACCUGCGGAAGGAUCAUUAUUGAAAUAAACCUGAUGGGUUGUUGCUGGUUCUCUAGUGAGCAUGUGCACGCCUUGUCAUCUUUAUAUCUCCACCUGUGCACUUUUUGUAGAACCUUCCAGGUCUAUGUUGCUUCAUUUACCCAAAUGUAUGGUAAUAGAAUGUUGUGCCUAUAUAAUAUAUACAACUUUCAGCAACGGAUCUCUUGGCUCUC
rnacentral:misc_RNA from 1 species